rnacentral:tRNA from 1 species
ACUUAAAUAGGAUAUUUAUUUUAAUUUGCAAUUAAAAAUUAUUAAUUUAUUAAUUAAUAUAUCUUUUUUUAAGUA